UAUGUAGGGGGCGAGCGUUAUCCGGAAUUACUGGGCGUAAAGCGCACGCAGGCGGUUCGCCAAGUUUGGAGUGACAGUUGUCGGCUCAACCGACAAAGGACUUCAAAAACUGGUGAACUUGAGGACGAGAGAGGAACAUGGAACUCCAGGUGUAGUAGUGAAAUGCGUAGAUAUCUGGAAGAACACCAAUGGCGAAGGCAAUGUUCUGGCUCGUUUCUGACGCUCAGGUGCGAAAGCCAGGGGAGCGAACGGG
rnacentral:rRNA from 1 species